rnacentral:rRNA from 1 species
UGUAAAAUUUUUAUAGUCGAACAGACUAAAUUUAUAAACGCCUACAUUUAUAAUUUAUUUUAAUUCAACAUCGAGGUCGCAAACAAUUUUUUCAAUUUGAUCUUUCCAAAAAUAUUACGCUGUUAUCCCUAAGGUAAUUUAUUCUUUUAUUAUAUCUUAUAAUAUAUUUCAAUUAAAUUUCUAUAAAUCAAUAUUUUUAAAACUUUAAAGUUAAUUAAAUUUAAAAAUCCUCCCAACUAAAUAUAUUAUUAAAAUUUAUAAAAUUUGUAAUAUAUAAAAUUCUAUAGGGUCUUAUCGUCCCUUAAAUAAAAUUAAGCAUUUUAACUUAAAAUUUAAAUUUAUUUUAUAUAACUGAGACAGUUUAUAUUUCAUUAAUUCAUUCAUUCUAGCCUUCAAUUAAAAGACAAAUGAUUAUGCUACCUUCGUACAGUUAAAAUACUGCAGCUAUUUAAUUUUUCAUUGAGCAGAACUGACUUUAUAUUAAAAUCAAAAAGAC